rnacentral:tRNA from 1 species
AACCCCCAUCGCGGUCGCGAGUAGCGGACUCUUAAUCCGUAGGUCGAGUGUUCGAGUCACUCAGGGCCCACCA